UGGAAAGCACAUUAUGGACUGACAGUCGC
rnacentral:piRNA from 1 species